UGUGUAUGUGUGCGUGCGCGCGUGCGCGCACCCAGGUAUGUAUGGUGGCCAGAGGUCAAGACCAUAUGUCUUCUUCAGUCUCUGUCAUCCUUAUUCUUUUGUAUAUAGUAUGUUUUGAACCCUAUUUUUUGUUAAUCCAGAUUGUCUUUAGGUAUUUAUUUGUUUGAGAUAUGAUUUCAUUAAGUAGUCCAGGAUAGCCUUAAACUCAUUCACUUCUUCUUUUCACCUCUUUUCUUCUUUUUACUUUAGUUUUUUUAAGUGUAUAUAUGUAUAUCUGAGUGUGACUUUGUAAAUGCUGAGUGCAGGGUGGGAGGAGAUCCGCAGAGAGCUCUGGGUCCUUGGGACCGGCAUUUCUUGCAGUUGUGAUCCUCCUGGCAUGGGUGCUGAAAGCUAAACUCCCAUCCUCCUCCACAAGAGAACAACUAUCGCCUUUAACAGCUGAGCCAUCUCUCCAACCCUUAUUUCUUGAGAUGAUUUCUCACUGAACCUGAAGCUCACUGAUUCAGUUAGCAUGGUUGACCAGAAAGCUCCAGAGAUCUGACUGUCUCGCCCUUCCCAGCACUGAGAUUACAGAAACAUGUUGAGCUGGUUGCUAUGAGCACUGUCGCCUUAGAAAUGAGGAAGGCAGUUCAGGGAAGCGAAGAAUGAACCCAAAACAUGGCAAUAAAGGAUGAAGCCUCCAUGGGUGUAAAUGAGACCAGGUGCUGGGAAGGAGGUGAAUGCAACACCCUGAUGGAGCCGCUGCUCGGCCGGGUGAGAGCUCAGCGCUGGGAUGUGGUAACCUGUCACCUUCAGCUUGACACUUGAAUCUGCCCAGGCAUUUUGGACCAGAGCCUGUCAUGUGAAGGUCUUCCAAUCAGGACGGAGGGGUGAUGGAGAGGCAGGAAGUGGAGCUGCUGAGACGGAGUGUGAAUUCACCAGCAUCAGUUUUACAAGGGGACUGUAAGUAGCUUUGGAAGCAGCUGAAAGCCUGGUGUGUCUCUGUUUGUGCCUAACUGGCCCCAUGGAGUCUUGCUUCUCAGCUAUGAAGGGUUGGUAAGUCCAGAGCAAAACCAGCUUUUAGUGUUGACUUACUUAGGGUGUAGAGCAGAGAGAAAUGAUAAAUAGAAUUUCUGCCUUACGGCUUGGAUCCUUUCAUGAUCACUCCCUGCCCCCAAGCCCAAGUUGGAACGUGGGAUUCUAGGAAAUGUUCUCCAUCUUGUUCAGCUCCUUUGUCUUCCUAGCGUGUUACACAAAGCGACUUCUACCCUGGAGACAUGUGCCCCAGAAGGUGUGUGGGAUGAAGGACACUCAUCUGCUCUUUGGAUUUUUUGGCUGGGUGAGGCAGGGUUUGCUUUUAUUUAAUUUGCAGUAAAAUCAAAAGUUGGUGAUGGGCCCUGGUCUUAUAUG